rnacentral:rRNA from 1 species
GACGAACGCUGGCGGCGUGCUUAACACAUGCAAGUCGAACGGAAAGGCCCUGCUUUUGUGGGGUGCUCGAGUGGCGAACGGGUGAGUAACACGUGAGUAACCUGCCCUUGACUUUGGGAUAACUUCUGGAAACUGGGGCUAAUACCGGAUAGGAGCUCCUGCUGCAUGGUGGGGGUUGGAAAGUUUCGGCGGUUGGGGAUGGACUCGCGGCUUAUCAGCUUGUUGGUGGGGUAGUGGCUUACCAAGGCUUUGACGGGUAGCCGGCCUGAGAGGGUGACCGGCCACAUUGGGACUGAGAUACGGCCCAGACUCCUACGGGAGGCAGCAGUGGGGAAUAUUGCACAAUGGGCGGAAGCCUGAUGUAGCAACGCCGCGUGCGGGAUGACGGCCUUCGGGUUGUAAACCGCUUUCGCCUGUGACGAAGCGUGAGUGACGGUAAUGGGUAAAGAAGCACCGGCUAACUACGUG